ACUGGCUUGGUGCUCGAUCUGCUCUCACACUUGUGCAUGUGAACAGUUUGCUUGAGAGUAAUUUUCACUGAGGAUGUUCCUUCUCUGUAAGUUCUGGUGGCUGAGGACCUAAGCAAUGCUAACAUUAAAUACAAACUCAAAGCUUGAAUGAGGCGGUGAAGAAGCUGUUUUCCAAAGACGACCUCAGGAAAAUCUCUCAUCUCACAUACCUCUCAUCCGUCAACAGCGUCUACACUUCUGGUAAGGGAGCUUGAUCCAACAUUCAAGUGGUGUGACUAUCCUGAAUCUGCCAUGCUUCCCAAAAAGUCCAAACUGAGCUGGGUGGUGAGACCACAUGGGGACGCCGUUAGACCACGUGCAGAGGGAUGCCCUGUUCCAGCUCUCUCUUGACCCGCCUCCAGUCACAACGUGGCUGCAGCUGCAGAAGGGAUCCAGCCUGCUCCAAGUCCCUGCUAAGCCCCAGCUAAAAUCUCAACUACAGAAAUCAUGAGAAAUAGUAACAAGAUCCUUGAUGCUGUUUUUAAAGAUAUAUUUUUACAAAAUA